rnacentral:rRNA from 1 species
UACGUAGGGUGCGAGCGUUGUCCGGAAUUAUUGGGCGUAAAGAGCUCGCAGGCGGUCUGUCGCGUCGGUCGUGAAAACUUGGGGCUUAACCCUGAGCUUGCGGUCGAUACGGGCAUGACUGGAGUUCGGCAGGGGAGACUGGAGUUCCUGGUGUAGCGGUGAAAUGCGCAGAUAUCAGGAGGAACACCGGUGGCGAAGGCGGGUCUCUGGGCCGAUACUGACGCUGAGGAGCGAAAGCGUGGGGAGCGAACAGG